CAUGCAGUCGAACGCUGUAGCAAUACAGAGUGGCAGACGGGUGAGUAACGCGUGGGAAUCUACCCAGUUCUACGGAGCAACACAGGGAAACUUGUGCUAAUACCGUAUACGCCCUACGGGGGAAAGAUUUAUCGGAAUUGGAUGAGCCCGCGUAAGAUUAGUUAGUUGGCGGGGUAACGGCCCACCAAGACCACGAUGACUAGGGGAUCUGAGAGGAUGACCCCCCACACUGGUACUGAGACACGGACCAGACUCCUACGGGAGGCAGCAGUAAGGAAUAUUGGUCAAUGGAGGCAACUCUGAACCAGCCAUGCCGCGUGCAGGAAGACGGCCCUCUUGGGUUGUAAACUGCUUUUAUUCGGGAAUAAACCUAUCUACGUGUAGAUAGCUGAAUGUACCGAAGGAAUAAGGAUCGGCUAACUCCGUGCCAGCAGCCGCGGUAAUACGGAGGAUCCAAGCGUUAUCCGGAUUUAUUGGGUUUAAAGGGUGCGUAGGCGGCCUAUUAAGUCAGGGGUGAAAGACGGUAGCUCAACUAUCGCAGUGCCCUUGAUACUGAUGGGCUUGAAUGAACUAGAGGUAGGCGGAAUGUGACAAGUAGCGGUGAAAUGCAUAGAUAUGUCACAGGACACCGAUUGCGAAGGCAGCUUACUAUGGUUUUAUUGACGCUGAGGCACGAAAGCGUGGGGAUCAAACAGGAUUAGAUACCCUGGUAGUCCACGCCCUAAACGAUGAAUACUCGCUGUUGGCGAUACACAGUCAGCGGCUAAGCGAAAGCGUUAAGUAUUCCACCUGGGGAGUACGGUCGCAAGAUUGAAACUCAAAGGAAUUGACGGGGGCCCGCACAAGCGGAGGAGCAUGUGGUUUAAUUCGAUGAUACGCGAGGAACCUUACCCGGGCUUGAAAGUUAGUGAAGUUUCCAGAGAUGGAAGCGUCCGCAAGGACACGAAACUAGGUGCUGCAUGGCUGUCGUCAGCUCGUGCCGUGAGGUGUUGGGUUAAGUCCCGCAACGAGCGCAACCCCUAUGUUUAGUUGCCAGCACGUAAUGGUGGGGACUCUAAACAGACUGCCUGUGCAAACAGAGAGGAAGGAGGGGACGACGUCAAGUCAUCAUGGCCCUUACGUCCGGGGCUACACACGUGCUACAAUGGACAGUACAGAGAGCAGCAAGCUGGCAACAGCAAGCAAAUCUCAAAAAGCCGUUCACAGUUCGGAUUGGGGUCUGCAACUCGACCCCAUGAAGU
rnacentral:rRNA from 1 species